rnacentral:sRNA from 12 species
ACCCCUGGCGAAGAGUCGCCGACUGUGGCGGCCUGCUGCCGGUCGCUGAGCCGGAGCUAGCCAGGGGGGUUUUU